GCCUUCGUGGUGUAAUAGUAGCACACACGGCGCAUAAUCGAGAGGUCCAGGUUCGAAUCCCGGCGACAGCA
rnacentral:tRNA from 1 species